rnacentral:rRNA from 1 species
GAUGAACGCUAGCGGCAGGCUUAACACAUGCAAGUCGAGGGGCAGCAUGAAGGUUAGCAAUAACUUUUGAUGGCGACCGGCGCAAGGGUGCGUAACGCGUGAGCAACUUGCCCGUUUCUGGGGGAUAACCGGUGGAAACGCCGACUAAUACCCCAUAGCAUUGAUUUCAGGCAUCUGUUAUCAAUUAAGAAUUUCGGAAACGGAUAGGCUCGCGUGACAUUAGCUAGAUGGCGGGGUAACGGCCCACCAUGGCGACGAUCAGUAGCCGGUCUGAGAGGAUGAACGGCCACAUUGGGACUGAGAUACGGCCCAGACUCCUACGGGAGGCAGCAGUGGGGAAUAUUGGGCAAUGACGCAAGUCUGACCCAGCAACGCCGCGUUGAAGGAAGAAGGCUUUCGGGUUGUAAAC